GAUAUAAAAUGCGUGCAAAGAGGAAACAGAUAUUAGCUACUCUCCUUCCGUAACCAACUUAAAAAGGAAAACAUUCAGCUUUCUCAACAACAAAUGCUGUAGAACAUUUCGAAGAGAUGACAGGGCUUUUGCAUUGCUGUUGGAGCAGAAAAGAUGGAAAAAAGAAUGGACUAGUGAAAUUUUCAUCAUCUUGUACGGUAAUAAAAGAACAGUGCAGGUGUGUUCUUAAAUUUGACAAGGAAAAAUAUCAGCACAAAAAAUGUCAAGCAUGAUUGCUCAGCAAUGAUUUCUGAAAGUACAGAGGGAUACAAAGAUGAUGAUCAACAACUCUUAAGAGUCGUUAAGGUAAUUUUGAUGGCUGAAAUAUGCUCCCCGGCCCUGACGCCUCUGGCGGUGGGCGUGAGAGGCACCUCAGUGGUGGCCGCUCGGCCCGGGCUGCACCGGACGCAGGCACCACCUCCCGCCAGGCGUCGGGGUCCCCUGACUGCUGUCUGUGGCCGGGCUCACGGCUCCAAAAUACCUGCCUCCAGGAGCCGUUACCGAGCUGGAGUCUCUCAGGAGCGACCCAGGCAUACAAGACCUGGAAGCUGGGGCUGUUCCAAGCUCCACACCAGAGGUGCUGCAGCCCAGUUGUAAAUAGGUCUCGUAAAGGUCUUCUACAUUUUGUGUUUAUGUGUAUUAUAUAUAUUCAUAUUACCCCAGUAUUAACUGCUAUGUUCAGUUUUCCCUAUCCCACAGGUGCAGCUUUGCAAGCCUACCCCUUCCCCUGGAGAAGACUGCUGGCAUCACCCUCUGCCUUGACUUCGUGUCUCUCAGCUUCCCAGCCCUCUAUUCCGCUUGCGCCCAUUUUUCCGCUCCUCAGAGUCCCUGACAGAUUCCUUCCCUCUGAUCUAAUCACCCAUUUAUCACCAUAUGAAGCCCAAUGACAGUGAUUCAAGAGAUAUUAGAAUGUUAUUUACAUAUUUCAUAUUAUAAUGUGUGUAUGAUACCAUCCUCUACUUUCCUUCCCCCACGCUUCUGUUGAAGUCCAUGUCUUAAUAAUUCACAGACAGAGAAGUAGGAGGAUGAAAAUGAGAAUUAAUUUCCUUCAUUCCUCAAAAUUAAAAACAGCAAUAUUGUCUUGUACUGAAUAUUAUUUAAAGUUCUUUCCUCUUUCUUAGUUUAAUUAACCUUUGCUUAAUUAAUCAACUGUUGUUUUCUUACACUGUAUCUGCAGCUCCCCAGUUCAAAACUGCUUCUUUACCAUUGCCUUCUAAUAGUCCCUCGUGAGACAAGUUAGUCGCCAGUUCUGAUUUGUGUUGCUUUUUCUUGAACUCAUCCUAGAGAAGGAGAUGGACAAAGACUUGAGGAGUGAAAACAAAAUGUGCAUAGAAGAUAACUAAGUCAGCUAGAGUCUUUUUUCAGUAUAUCUGUUAUUUCUCAGCGUAGAUUUUCCUUUCCGUAGGAAUGGACCAAUGAUUUGGUCCCUUUCUCCCUCAGAAGUCAACAGACCAGAUGAUCCGUUCCUCUGUAUUGACCGAUCUCCCACCUCAGUUGACUUUCUAUUGGCCUGGAGGAAACUCAGCUUGCUCUCCUCUGCAUCAUUCUUGCUUGCCCUCGUACAACUAGGAAGGUGCGGUGGGGACUUAACACCGACCAAUGGUAGCACAACUUCAGGUACCAUAAAUCCCCACCUGCACCCUAAAAAAUGGUUUCCUGUUCUCAGUAAGGUAACUCAUUCGUUUCUCCCAACACCCUUGAGCCAAUGGAGCUUAAUUGCUGAGUAUCUUCAAGCCUGAUCAGGUGCUGUAUUAUCUAGGUAUGGUCUCUUUCAGGUAACAGAUGUGAUAGUCUGCAAGAGUGACUGCACCAAAGGUUGUAGAAAAUGUCUGUUACAUCCCUGCUCUGUGACAAGUACAUCUUUGUUUAGCAAACUUACAUUGUAUUGACCAUUAUUAUUAAUAUUACAUAUUGCAAACUCAAUGAAUAAUUUUUUGUUGUCUGGAGAGAAAGGUACUCAGUUAUUACUGCACUAGGAAAGGAAAGUUGAAAAUUCAGACUUCGCACAUGAAAUAAAAUGCACUGAAAGCACUUUUCGACCCUAUCAGAAUGUUGUAUUUCUUUGCAGUCAAACGUUCGUCUCUGAUAAAGGCAGCAACGCUCUGUUCUGCCAUCAUUGCACUUGGAAGUGACUAUGCUAUUGUGAAAAGCUAAAUAUUUCAGUGAUUUCCGCUGCACAUUUUGAUGUAACCAGUGCUUUCCCGAAAAAUGUUUCAAUUUCACCCAAGCAGCAGUCUCUGAUGGAAAACUAUUUGCUCGAAAAUUUUCAGACAGCUCAACCCAUGAUGGAGAAUUGAGCUGUACUAAACUUUUUGUUCUUUCUCCUUAGCUGAGCGGCUAGAAGUGGGACGUACAAAGCUGGACGUGCUCCAGCGCUUGCUUUGUUGGACCAGUGAACAGGGCCGUUGCUCGAGUUUCACCGCGUGGGAACAACAGGCUCAAGCAGUCACGCAGGGGACUUCUGGCUCAACAGUGUUCUUCCUCGGGAUGAGCUAAUAAAAUAAACAUUUAUGCCAUUUCA